AUUGAACGCUGGCGGCAUGCCUUACACAUGCAAGUCGAACGGUAACAGGUCUUCGGAUGCUGACGAGUGGCGAACGGGUGAGUAAUGCAUCGGAACGUGCCCAGUAGUGGGGGAUAGCCCGGCGAAAGCCGGAUUAAUACCGCAUACGACCUGAGGGUGAAGGGGGGGAUCGCAAGACCUCUCGCUAUUGGAGCGGCCGAUGUCAGAUUAGCUAGUUGGUGGGGUAAAGGCCUACCAAGGCAACGAUCUGUAGUUGGUCUGAGAGGACGACCAGCCACACUGGGACUGAGACACAGCCCAGACUCCUACGGGAGGCAGCAGUGGGGAAUUUUGGACAAUGGGCGCAAGCCUGAUCCAGCAAUGCCGCGUGCAGGAAGAAGGCCUUCGGGUUGUAAACUGCUUUUGUCAGGGAAGAAAUCUUCUGGGUUAAUACCUCGGGAGGAUGACGGUACCUGAAGAAUAAGCACCGGCUAACUACGUGCCAGCCGCCGCCGUAAGAC
rnacentral:rRNA from 1 species